rnacentral:rRNA from 1 species
AUCUAAGCACGAAACUUGCCCCGAGAUGAGUUCUCCCUGACUCCUUGAGAGUCCUGAAGGAACGUUGAAGACGACGACGUUGAUAGGCCGGGUGUGUAAGCGCAGCGAUGCGUUGAGCUAACCGGUACUAAUGAACCGUGAGGCUUAACCUU